GGGAGCCGUGGAGGGAACUUUCCCAGUCCCCGAGGCGGAUCCGGUGUUGCAUCCUUGGAGCGAGCUGAGAGCUCGAGGCCAUCAAACCUAUUGAUCGGAAGUCAGUCCAUCAGAUUUGCUCUGGGCCGGUGGUACCGAGUCUAAGCACUGCGGUGAAGGAGUUAGUAGAAAACAGUCUGGAUGCUGGUGCCACUAAUAUUGAUCUAAAGCUUAAGGACUAUGGAGUGGAUCUCAUUGAAGUUUCAGGCAAUGGAUGUGGGGUAGAAGAAGAAAACUUCGAAGGCUUAACUCUGAAACAUCACACAUCUAAGAUUCAAGAGUUUGCCGACCUACCUCAGGUUGAAACUUUUGGCUUUCGGGGGGAAGCUCUGAGCUCACUUUGUGCACUGAGUGAUGUCACCAUUUCUACCUGCCAUGUAUCGGCGAAGGUUGGGACUCGACUGGUGUUUGAUCACUAUGGGAAAAUCAUCCAGAAAACCCCCUACCCCCACCCCAGAGGGAUGACAGUCAGUGUGAAGCAGUUAUUUUCUACGCUACCUGUGCACCAUAAAGAAUUUCAAAGGAAUAUUAAGAAGAAACGUGCCUGCUUCCCCUUCGCCUUCUGCCGUGAUUGUCAGUUUCCUGAGGCCUCCCCAGCCAUGCUUCCUGUACAGCCUGCAGAACUGACUCCUAGAAGUACCCCACCCCACCCCUGCUCCUUGGAGGACAACGUGAUCACUGUAUUCAGCUCUGUCAAGAAUGGUCCAGGUUCUUCUAGAUGAUCUGCACAAAUGGCUCCUCUCCUCCUUCCUGAUGUCUGCCAUUAGCACUGGAAUAAAGUUCCUGCUGAAAAUCCA
rnacentral:lncRNA from 1 species